rnacentral:rRNA from 1 species
UGAACGCUGGCGGCGUGCUUAACACAUGCAAGUCGAACGAUGAAGCCUUAGCUUGCUAAGGUGGAUUAGUGGCGCACGGGUGAGUAAUAUAUAGUUAACGUGCCCCUUAGUCUGGGAUAGCCAUUGGAAACGAUGAUUAAUACCGGAUACUCCUUCUCUUCAUAAGUAGAGUUGGGAAAGUUUUUCGCUAAGGGAUCGGACUAUAUCGCAUCAGUUAGUUGGUGGGGUAAUGGCCUACCAAGACAAUGACGCGUAGCGGGUUUGAGAGGAUGAUCCGCCACACUGGUACUGAGACACGGACCAGACUCCUACGGGAGGCAGCAGUGAGGAAUAUUGCACAAUGGGGGAAACCCUGAUGCAGCAACGCCGCGUGGAGGAUGACGCAUUUCGGUGUGUAAACUCCUUUUAUAUGUCAAGAAAAUGACGGUAGCAUAUGAAUAAGCACCGGCUAACUCC